UGAACAUGGUUUCUACCCCUCCCGUC
rnacentral:piRNA from 1 species